AGGUAAGCCUAAAAGGAACCUAAG
rnacentral:siRNA from 1 species